rnacentral:rRNA from 1 species
AUUGAACGCUGGCGGCAUGCCUUACACAUGCAAGUCGAACGGUAACAGGGAGCUUGCUCCGCUGACGAGUGGCGAACGGGUGAGUAAUAUAUCGGAACGUACCAUUGAGUGGGGGAUAACGUAGCGAAAGUUGCGCUAAUACCGCAUAUUCUCUCCGGAGGAAAGCAGGGGACCGCAAGGCCUUGCGCUCAUUGAGCGGCCGAUAUCAGAUUAGCUAGUUGGUGGGGUAAAAGCUCACCAAGGCGACGAUCUGUAGCGGGUCUGAGAGGAUGAUCCGCCACACUGGAACUGAGACACGGUCCAGACUCCUACGGGAGGCAGCAGUGGGGAAUUUUGGACAAUGGGGGCAACCCUGAUCCAGCCAUGCCGCGUGAGUGAAGAAGGCCUUCGGGUUGUAAAGCUCUUUCAGCCGGGAAGAAAACGCAUUGGUUAAUACCUGAUGUGGAUGACGGUACCGGAAUAAGAAGCACUGGCUAACUACGUG